rnacentral:tRNA from 3 species
GGCAAGAUGGCCGAGUGGUUAAGGCGGUGAGUGUUUCCACCGUAAUGGGAAACCGCGUGGGUUCGAAUCCCACUCUUGUCA